CAACAACUACAAAAACACAUAGCCCUGGUCAGGUGCCUUAGUUAUUGGAGUGUCAUCCCAUACACCAAAAUGUUGUGGGUUUGAUUCC